rnacentral:rRNA from 1 species
AGAGUUUGAUCAUGGCUCAGAUUGAACGCUGGCGGCAGGCCUAACACAUGCAAGUCGAACGGUAACAGGAAGCAGCUUGCUGCUUCGCUGACGAGUGGCGGACGGGUGAGUAAUGUCUGGGAAGCUGCCUGAUGGAGGGGGAUAACUACUGGAAACGGUAGCUAAUACCGCAUAAUGUCGCAAGACCAAAGAGGGGGACCUUCGGGCCUCUUGCCAUCGGAUGUGCCCAGAUGGGAUUAGCUUGUUGGUGGGGUAACGGCUCACCAAGGCGACGAUCCCUAGCUGGUCUGAGAGGAUGACCAGCCACACUGGAACUGAGACACGGUCCAGACUCCUACGGGAGGCAGCAGUGGGGAAUAUUGCACAAUGGGCGCAAGCCUGAUGCAGCCAUGCCGCGUGUAUGAAGAAGGCCUUCGGGUUGUAAAGUACUUUCAGCGGGGAGGAAGGGAGUAAAGUUAAUACCUUUGCUCAUUGACGUUACCCGCAGAAGAAGCACCGGCUAACUCCGUGCAGCAGCCGCGGUAAUACGGAGGGUGCAAGCGUUAAUCGGAAUUACUGGGCGUAAAGCGCACGCAGGCGGUUUGUUAAGUCAGAUGUGAAAUCCCCGGGCUCAACCUGGGAACUGCAUCUGAUACUGGCAAGCUUGAGUCUCGUAGAGGGGGGUAGAAUUCCAGGUGUAGCGGUGAAAUGCGUAGAGAUCUGGAGGAAUACCGGUGGCGAAGGCGGCCCCCUGGACGAAGACUGACGCUCAGGUGCGAAAGCGUGGGGAGCAAACAGGAUUAGAUACCCUGGUAGUCCACGCCGUAAACGAUGUCGACUUGGAGGUUGUGCCCUUGAGGCGUGGCUUCCGGAGCUAACGCGUUAAGUCGACCGCCUGGGGAGUACGGCCGCAAGGUUAAAACUCAAAUGAAUUGACGGGGGCCCGCACAAGCGGUGGAGCAUGUGGUUUAAUUCGAUGCAACGCGAAGAACCUUACCUGGUCUUGACAUCCACGGAAGUUUUCAGAGAUGAGAAUGUGCCUUCGGGAACCGUGAGACAGGUGCUGCAUGGCUGUCGUCAGCUCGUGUUGUGAAAUGUUGGGUUAAGUCCCGCAACGAGCGCAACCCUUAUCCUUUGUUGCCAGCGGUCCGGCCGGGAACUCAAAGGAGACUGCCAGUGAUAAACUGGAGGAAGGUGGGGAUGACGUCAAGUCAUCAUGGCCCUUACGACCAGGGCUACACACGUGCUACAAUGGCGCAUACAAAGAGAAGCGACCUCGCGAGAGCAAGCGGACCUCAUAAAGUGCGUCGUAGUCCGGAUUGGAGUCUGCAACUCGACUCCAUGAAGUCGGAAUCGCUAGUAAUCGUGGAUCAGAAUGCCACGGUGAAUACGUUCCCGGGCCUUGUACACACCGCCCGUCACACCAUGGGAGUGGGUUGCAAAAGAAGUAGGUAGCUUAACCUUCGGGAGGGCGCUUACCACUUUGUGAUUCAUGACUGGGGUGAAGUCGGAACAAGGUA